UUGGAGGGCAAGUCUGGUGCCAGCAGCCGCGGUAAUUCCAGCUCCAAUAGCGUAUAUUAAAGUUGUUGCAGUUAAAAAGCUCGUAGUUGAAUUUCGAGAUCAAUUUGUCGGUCGUGCCUCGGUACGUACUGGCAUUAUUGAUUUCUCCCUUCUGAAGAACCGCGAUGUCAUUAAUUUGGUGUCGUGGGGAAUCAGGACUGUUACUUUGAAAAAAUUAGAGUGUUUAAAGCAGGCGCACGCUUGAAUACAUUAGCAUGGAAUAAUGAAAUAGGACGUUUGAUUCUAUUUUGUUGGUUUCUAGGAUCGACGUAAUGAUUAAUAGGGAUAGUUGGGGGCAUUAGUAUUCAAUUGUCAGAGGUGAAAUUCUUAGAUUUAUUGAAGACUAACUACUGCGAAAGCAUUUGCCAAGGAUGUUUUCAUUAAUCAAGAACGAAAGUUAGGGGAUCGAAGACGAUCAGAUACCGUCGUAGUCUUAACCAUAAACUAUGCCGACUAGGGAUCGGAUGAUGUUAAUUUUUUAAUGACUCAUUCGGCGCCUUACGGGAAAC
rnacentral:rRNA from 1 species